GCUAUGUGAUGAUGUCCCACUGACUUGAACAUGUUGUAGUUGGUCCUUGGCAUGUAUAUGAGAGAGCUCAGUGUUUCAAGACGGGACUGAUGGCGGC
ensembl:snoRNA SNORD21 Small nucleolar RNA SNORD21